AGCCCUUGACAUCCCGGUCGCGGACUCCAGAGACGGAGUUCUUCAGUUCGGCUGGACCGGAGACAGGUGCUGCAUGGCUGUCGUCAGCUCGUGUCGUGAGAUGUUGGGUUAAGUCCCGNAACGAGCGCAACCCCCGUCCUUAGUUGCUACCAUUCAGUUGAGCACUCUAAGGAGACUGCCGGUGAUAAGCCGCGAGGAAGGUGGGGAUGACGUCAAGUCCUCAUGGCCCUUACGGGCUGGG
rnacentral:rRNA from 1 species